AUGAGGGUGACCGAGUGUGGGAAGGAAGCGUGUAACGAAACUGCGAGCCGAUGUACAAGAAUCGGAUAGAAGGCGUUGCCGACCAAGGCGAGCGGGCAUGGAAUCGCGAAGCUUUUGUGGUCAAAGGUCAGGCGGCGUAGAUCCGGCGGUUGUGCAGUGAAGGAUUGCGUUC
rfam:Gallionellales bacterium RIFOXYB12_FTLL_54_9 rifoxyb3_full_scaffold_3778, whole genome shotgun sequence.